AGCGUGAAGCCCCCCUCAAGAUGAGAUAUCCCUGCUUUUAGCAGUAAGACCCCUUGUAGAGUACGAGGUUAGAUAGGCACAAGGUGUAAGCAUGGUAACGUGUUGAGCUGAUGUGUACUAAUAGGUCGAGGGCUUAUCCAA
rnacentral:rRNA from 1 species